rnacentral:lncRNA from 1 species
AUAAUUUGUAUAACAAAUAGUCUCAACUCUCAAAUUACAAUCUCAGAAUUCAAAUUAAAUUUCAAACAUAAGUUCUAACAAAAAAUACUUAUUCAAAAUGUAGCAAAAAAAUAACAAACACCGCAUGUCUUGCUCCCCACUUUAAUUUUCGCAGCUCCAGCUGAUCUGGAUCAACAAAAAAAAAGGUCAUAAAAUUAGUAUCUGAAAUUACCAAAUAAAAAUCAUCAUAUCAAAUUUCUGAAAAAUAUAGAAGUUAGGUUAUACUGUUCAUCAACAAAUAAGAAGACAAUAGUUAACAAUAUAUAAAUACCAUAAAGCAUAUCCGCACAAUAAUUAAUAAUGUAAAAGACCAGGUUUUGAUUGAUGGUUAAUCCUAUUUGUGCUUGGUUGAGGAAUAAAAAUUGUUCCGCUAUGGGGAAUAGUAAUAACUGAUCACAAAGUCAAUUUUGUGGACGGUGCUGAAAGGCAGAACAGAUCAGAGCAGCUCUUUCAAAGUGAACAUUCUGACUUUCACAUCACUCGACGUAUUUUAGUAAUAUUUGACAAGAUCAAGGGAUUGAAGCUUUGAGGUAACC